CCCUCGGAACGCGCAUGACUGAGCUGCACUGAAGAUCCCGUGGGAGCCCGUGCGCCCCUCUCUCUACUCCUCUGUGAGUAGUGACAUUGUGUCCCCACCCCCACUCCUGCUGUGACCGGUCAGCCCAAACAUGGUGGCCUGAGGGCCGGGAGCUCACUCCCGCCUCUGCCCCACCAUUACAAGGUGUCCUUCCGGAGGAGACUACAGAGGUUGUUAGAGUUCUGGGUAUGGGGGAGGGCACGCUCAUUAUUGCCAGUGAGACAAGGAUCUUCAGACCCCGCGAUGGAAACCAGAGAACCGUUCGUUGAACGUCAGAAAUCUGACAGCAUCAUCAGUGUCCAUCCAGCAAGCCCCGCAGGAUGGACGAGGCCCUCCCGAAUGUCUUCCCAGCCUCAGAACCUGCACCAGCACCUUGAGCAAGUGCGGAGCCCGCGUGGCCCUACUCGAGGAGCCCUGUCCUGAGGAGCCUCCGCUCUGGGCCCCGAAUUGUAGCCCUGAGGCCCCACGGAGCAGGUCUGAGUCUGAGGAUGUCCCUCAGGUACUCAGCGAGCUCGGUUCAGGCCUCCCCUGCUCUAGCAAGGGACACCCCCCUGCAGCCCGCCGGGGCAAACACCGCGGGGUCUUCUGGAUCCUUCUUCUCUGAUCUGGUCCCAGCUUGUCUCGACCCGUCGUUGAGAAGGGAGGUGCCCGGAACUGAAAAGGACGGCCGUCUUCAUGCUCAUCGGUCCUACAGAAUGGGACCCAAAUGCCAGGCUACGACAAGGAGCGAGACAGACAGACUCCAGCCAUCAUGAAGCUCCCGUCCUGGUAGAGGGGGCGGGGGAUGCGGGGAAACGGACGAGGACAACAUCAGAUAGUGACGCUCCGCAGAGCGGAAGCAGGUCCGACGACGAGGCAUGACCAGAGGUCAGGUGGCCUCUGUGAGGGGCUGACAUUCGUGCUGAGAUCUGAGUGACGAGAACAGCUGAAGCGAAGUCCCCAGUGCAGCAGCAGACCCCCUUCUCUGCCGCCUUUCGAAGAGGGAGAGGCGGAGGAGGAAGGACUCAGCGAGCCUCUUCCACACCGGUCCCCACAAGAGCGGGCCCCUGGAGUGCUCUCUCCCUCCUCGUGUCCUAGGGCAGGUGGCUGAAGUAGCCCGGCCGGAAGUCCCCUUCCCCACACCUGAGCAGCUGGAAUGGAGUAAAUUGGGAAAUACCGGCAAGUUGGCCAUUUGUGGAACCAGUCUUGGCAAACGGAUUUUCACGGAAGUGGCUUUCAGAGAACUGAGUUUCCUGAAGUCACUGAGAACCCUGUGGGCUCUCGGGACACUUCUUGCCUGCUUCCAGGUCUCCCUGGAGUUCUAGGCUGGGGCGGGGCUGCUGCCUGAACCCCGGGGGUGUAACCGGACC